rnacentral:rRNA from 1 species
CGAACGCUGGCGGCGUGCUUACCACAUGCACGUCGACCGGAAAGGCCCCUUUGGGGGUACUCGAGUGGCGAACGGGUGAGUAACACGUGAGUAACCUGCCCUUGACUUCGGGAUAACUUCAGGAAACUGGGGCUAAUACCGGAUAGGAAUCCUUGCUGCAUGGUGGGGGUUGGAAAGCUUCGGCGGUUUUGGAUGGACUCGCGGCUUAUCAGCUUGUUGGUGGGGUAGUGGCUUACCAAGGCUUUGACGGGUAGCCGGCCUGAGAGGGCGACCGGCCACAUUGGGACUGAGAUACGGCCCAGACUCCUACGGGAGGCAGCAGUGGGGAAUAUUGCACAAUGGGCGGAAGCCUGAUGCAGCAACGCCGCGUGCGGGAUGACGGCCUUCGGGUUGUAAACCGCUUUCAGCAGGGGCGAAGCUUGUGGUGACGGUACCUGCAGAAGAAGCACCGGCUAACUACGUG